rnacentral:rRNA from 1 species
GUAUGCCUACGGGAGGCAGCAGUGGGGAAUAUUGCUCAAUGGGGGAAACCCUGAUGCAGCGACGCCGCGUGAGUGAAGAAGUAUUUCGGUAUGUAAAGCUCUAUCAGCAGGGAAGAAAAUGACGGUACCUGACUAAGAAGCCCCGGCUAACUACGUGCCAGCAGCCGCGGUAAUACGUAGGGGGCAAGCGUUAUCCGGAUUUACUGGGUGUAAAGGGGGCGCAGACGGCGAUGCAAGCCAGGAGUGAAAGCCCGGGGCCCAACCCCGGGACUGCUCCUGGAACUGCGUGGCUGGAGUGCAGGAGG